GGUGGCUCAGCGGUAGAGCGCUUGCCUUGUGUGCAUGAGACCCUGGGUUGGAUUCCUCAGCACCA
rfam:Dipodomys ordii contig_31001, whole genome shotgun sequence.